AACGACUCUCGGCAACGGAUAUCUCGGCUCUCGCAUCGAUGAAGAACGUAGCGAAAUGCGAUACUUGGCGUGAAUUGCAGAAUCCCGCGAACCAUCGAGUCUUUGAACGCAAGUUGCGCCCGAAGCCUUCUGGCCGAGGGCACGUCUGCCUGGGUGUCACUC
rnacentral:rRNA from 1 species